UACGAAGGUGGCAAGCGUUGUUCGGAUUUACUGGGCGUACAGGGAGCGUAGGCGGUUGGAUAAGCCCUCCGUGAAAUCUCCAGGCUUAACCUGGAAAGUGCAGAGGGGACUGUUCAGCUAGAGGAUGGGAGAGGAGCGCGGAAUUCCCGGUGUAGCGGUGAAAUGCGUAGAGAUCGGGAGGAAGGCCGGUGGCGAAGGCGGCGCUCUGGACCGGUACUGACGCUGAGGCGCGAAAGCGUGGGUAGCAAACAGG
rnacentral:rRNA from 1 species